AUUGAACGCUGGCGGCAGGCCUAACACAUGCAAGUCGAACGAGUGGCGGACGGGUGAGUAAUGUCUGGGAAACUGCCUGAUGGAGGGGGAUAAAUACUGGAAACGGUCGCUAAUACCGCAUACCAUCAGAUGUGCCCAGAUGGGCUGAGCUAGUUGGUGGGGUAGCGGCUGACCACGGCGACGAUCCCUAGCUGGUCUGGGAGGAUGACCAGCUACACUGGAACUGAGACACGGUCCAGACUCCUACGGGAGGCAGCAGUGGGGAAGAGUGCAAAAUGGGCGCAAGCCUGAUGCAGCCAUGCCGCGUGUAUGAAGAAGGCCUUCGGGUUGUAAAGUACUUUCAGCGGGGAGGCGUUACCCGCAGAAGAAGCACCGGCUAACUCCGUGCCAGCCGCCGCGGUAAUAC
rnacentral:rRNA from 1 species